GAAAAAUAGGUCAAAAGUCGUAGAAAGUCAACUAGAAGAAUUGGAGGGAAAAAUUGUUAGGGAUAGUAGUUAGUUACAGAAGCAGUUAUUGAAUAUUCCAGCUGGGAAUAUUGGCAGGAAAUGAUGCAUAAAAGGGCUAGAAGAACUCUCUGUGAUUCAUUCCAGAUCUAAUCAAUAAAAUACCUAUUCUCUUCUCUCUCAUUCUCUCUAAUUUCUCCUCUGUUCUAUGUCUUUCUCUCAUUCUUUCUCUUAAUUAUUCCUAAAUUCCUGCUGUAACUGAACAGUUAGGGCUGCUAAGUAACAAAUCCACCUAUAGGGCUCAUUAAGAUUACAACUACUGAGUGGACUCACAUGUUUCAAAAUAGCAGUGCAUGGUAAGUAUCAUUAGUUAUGAGUUAUAUUAACCCAACUCUCCGUGCCAGCAUGAUAAUUCAGUGCAAUGUUGGUAUAGAUACACUUUAGCCAUGAUUGUCACCCAUUGGGAUAUAAUUGGUAACAAUUCUAAAGCAUAUGGUAUGAAUUGAUUACAUUAAAAGAAAUGGUCACAAAGUCUAUGGUUUGAGGGAUCAUUAGCCCUUACAAAACUGAAAAAGGCAUCAUUAUGAGAAAGCAUCUUUGUUUCUAGAACCAAGAGAAAAUCCAAAGUCAUAAAGACAACCAUUUUAAGCAGCGCCCUAAAAGAACAGCUGUGAUAAGAAAAGCAAUUGCACCUAUUAAAAUAACAAAACAAUUAAAGAACAUAAGAAAAUUAAAGCCGCAUUCAUGGGAAAAAAAAAAAUGAAGUCCAGAAAUAAGUGCACAGAUGUUCAUAUUUACUGAUCACAGUUUCAAGGCCUUGGUUUU
rnacentral:misc_RNA from 1 species